rnacentral:rRNA from 1 species
UGGGGAAUAUUGGACAAUGGGCGCAAGCCUGAUCCAGCAAUGCCGCGUGUGUGAAGAAGGCCUUCGGGUUGUAAAGCACUUUUAUCAGGAACGAAACACUGUCGGCUAAUACCCGGCGGGACUGACGGUACCUGAGGAAUAAGCACCGGCUAACUUCGUGCCAGCAGCCGCGGUAAUACGAAGGGUGCAAGCGUUAAUCGGAAUUACUGGGCGUAAAGCGUGCGUAGGCGGUUUGUUAAGUCUGUUGUGAAAUCCCCGGGCUCAACCUGGGAAUGGCAAUGGAUACUGGCAAGCUAGAGUGUGAUAGAGGAUGGUGGAAUUCCCGGUGUAGCGGUGAAAUGCGUAGAGAUCGGGAGGAACAUCAGUGGCGAAGGCGGCCAUCUGGAUCAACACUGACGCUGAGGCACGAAAGCGUGGGGAGCAAACA